rnacentral:lncRNA from 1 species
CUUCGCCCCCGCCUCCGUGCACGCCGAGGACGGGGACCGGGGCCUGCGGGCGCCCAUCGCCUACUCCCUGCUCGCAGGCCAGGAGAGCGGCCGCUUCCACAUCGACAACGCGACGGGUGCCAUCACGCUGCUGCGGGCCGUGGAGAGCAGCCGGCGGACCCCCGCCAUCAGCCUCAGCGUCAUGGCCUCGCAGGUGAACGAYGCCAACAAGUACGCGGUGACGGAGGCGGUGGUGCGGGUGCUGGCCGCCAACCGSCACCCGCCCCGCUUCGCCCGCCCCGCGUACCGGGCCUUCGUCCCCGCGGCGCCCCGCGAGGCCGUGCUCCUCACCACCUACGGCGGCCGCGUCCUGGCCCUGCGCGCCCACGACCCCGACUUCGAGGACGUGAGUGUCCCCCGCGUGCCGGCCAGGCCCCCCGGGG